GCCAUUUUCUCUACAAACCAUGUGCAAUGGAACGCAUAAGAAAGCCUGUUGGAAAGAUGCCAUAAAAAAACUUAGUAUCAGAAAGAGCUCAGGAGAAGACGCUGAGAAGUGUUUUAAAAUAGCGACAGGAGCAGAGCACGUUGCGCCGUUCGGAAGCGAAGCUACACCGAGCUGAAGGCCAACCCUUCUGCAGAUUUCUGUGGCGAGAGUUCUUUUUUUUUUAAAUUAAAUUAAAUUUGAAGAACAAGACCUGCUAUUCCGGGGAAGAGAAGCAAGGGCUGGAUUGUGGCAGGCGGCCGGGGCGCUUGUCUCGGCGAAAGUACCGCGGGCCGAGCUCGUCCAGCCCCUGUCUUCAGGGCAGCUCUGGGUCUGGUGUCGUGAUCGCCUCAACAAUGGAUCACAGAGCGGUUCUGCACGGAAUGAGACAGGGAGAAAUUAAGAACCGCUCUCUGCCGUCUGUGAGGAACCCAAUGCCUUGUAUCGGAAACCAAGUCCUAAUUUCACUGUUUUACUUGCUCUUAUGAAAUAAAAGGUACGAAUA